AUGAACGCUGGCGGCGUGCUUAACACAUGCAAGUCGAGCGAGCGAGCGUAAGGGGCAACUCUUCCAGUUCGAGGCGGACGGACGGGUGAGUAACACGGGGGCAAUCUGCCCGAAAGUGGGGAAUACCCCAGGGAAACUUGGGCUAAUACCGCAUGUCAUCGCGACCUCGAGAGAGGAUGCGAUCAAAGGGGGGCCGCAAGGUCUCUCCGCUUUCGGAGGAGCCCGCGCCCGAUUAGCUAGUUGGCGGGGUAAUGGCCCACCAAGGCUUCGAUCGGUAGCACGGCCUGAGAGGGUGAUCGGCCGACACGGAACUGAGACACGGUCCGGACUCCUACGGGAAGGCAGCAGUGGGGAAUCUUGCGCAAAUGGGGCGAAAGCCUGACGCAGCAAUACGCCGCGUGGAGGAUGAAGGUCCUUGGAUUGUAAACUCCUGUCGGCCGGGAAAGAAGUUCAUCGGGGCUCAUACCCCCGGUGAUUGACUGUACCGGCAAAGGAAGCCCCGGCUAACUCUGUGCCAGCAGCCGCGGUAAUACAGAUGGGGGCAAGCGUUAUUCGGAAUUUAUUUGGGCGUAAAGGGGCGCGUAGGCGGCCCGUCAAGUCUCUUCGUGAAAUUCCCUCGGCUUAACUGACGACGUGCGGGAGAUACUGUCGGGCUGGAGUCCGGAAGAGGGUGGUGGAAUUCCCAGUGUAGCGGUGAACAUGCGUAUGAUAUUGGGAGGAACCACCGGUGGCCGAAGGCGGGCCACCUGGGCCGGAACUGACGCUGAGGUGCGCGAAAGCGUGGGGAGAACACGGGAUUAGAUACCCCGGUAGUCCACGCCGCUAACGAUGGCACCUUUGCGUGUCGCGGGUAUCGGACCCCUGCGGUGCCGAAGCUAACGCAUUAAGGUGCCCCGCCUGGGGGAGUACGGUCGCAAGGCUGAAACUCAAAGGAAUUGACGGGGGCCACGCACAAGCGGUGGAGCAUGUGGUUCAAUUCGAAGCAACGCGAGAACCCUUACCUGGGUUUGAAGAUCAACGGACCGGGUGCGAAAUCACCCUUUCCCGCAAGGGACUGUUGGUUAGGUGCUGCAUGGCCGUCGUCAGCUCGUGUCGUGAGAUGUUGGGGUUAAGUCCCGCAACGAGCGCAACCCCUGUUGCCAGCUGCCAUCGGGUAAAGGCCGGGCACUCUGGUGAGACUGGCCGGUGAUACACCGGAGGAAGGCUGGGGAUGACGUCAAGUCCUCAUGGCCUUUAUGUCCAGGGCUACACAACGUGCUACAAUGGCCGGUUACAAACCGACGCAAGAGCGCAAGCUGGAGCAAAUCGGUAUAAAAGCCGGUCUCAGUUCGGAUUGGAGUUCUGCAACUCGACUCCAUGGAAGCUGGAAUCGCUAGUAAUCGCGGAAUCAGCACGGCCGCGGUGAAUACGUUCCCGGGCCUUGUACACACCGCCCGUCACAUCACGAAAGUCGGCUGUACCAGAAGCCGGUUGGGCUAACCCGCAAGGGAGGUAGCCGUCUAAGGUAUGGUCGGUAAUUGGGGUG
rnacentral:rRNA from 1 species